rnacentral:lncRNA from 1 species
UGGCGCGUGCUACUUCACGGUGAAUUUGGGAAAAGACCAAUCAGUCAGAUUUGGCAAUAAAUGAAAGUAGACUUGGUCACAUGUUUAAAAAAAAAAUAAUGGUAAUAAUUCUCAAUUUAAUAUCCAGUAACUGCUCCACCUUAAAACACGUUAUUUUAUUUCCUAAUACCCCCACUUUCUCUUAACUCAAAAACAAAAAGCUGAAGCCAUCAAAUACUAGGAAAAGAAAACAAACAUGGCGACCAAUAUGAACUCCACGACGACGCUAAGGAGCAGUCACGGUGGCGCCGCCAUAAUCUCGCGGUGGUUCAACCACCCAAAACCCUACCCCACCUAAACCAAGCCCUCUGAGUUCGAAUCCAGGCUUGGAUUUCCAAAAAAAAA